CCUACGGGAGGCAGCAGUGGGGAAUAUUGGACAAUGGGGGCAACCCUGAUCCAGCCAUGCCGCGUGUGUGAAGAAGGCCCUCGGGUUGUAAAGCACUUUCAGUGAGGAAGAACGCCUGGUGGUUAAUACCCAUCAGGAAAGACAUCACUCACAGAAGAAGCACCGGCUAACUCCGUGCCAGCAGCCGCGGUAAUACGGAGGGUGCGAGCGUUAAUCGGAAUUACUGGGCGUAAAGCGCGCGUAGGUGGCUUGAUAAGCCGGUUGUGAAAGCCCCGGGCUCAACCUGGGAACGGCAUCCGGAACUGUCAAGCUAGAGUGCAGGAGAGGAAGGUAGAAUUCACGGUGUAGCGGUGAAAUGCGUAGAGAUCGGGAGGAAUACCAGUGGCGAAGGCGGCCUUCUGGACUGACACUGACACUGAGGUGCGAAAGCGUGGGUAGCAAACAGGAUUAGCUACCCUGGUAGUC
rnacentral:rRNA from 1 species